GAUGACGAGUGGCGGACGGGUGAGUAAUGCUUGGGAACUUGCCUUUGCGAGGGGGAUAACAGUUGGAAACGACUGCUAAUACCGCAUAAUGUCUUCGGACCAAACGGGGCUUCGGCUCCGGCGCAAAGAGAGGCCCAAGUGAGAUUAGCUAGUUGGUAAGGUAACGGCUUACCAAGGCGACGAUCUCUAGCUGUUCUGAGAGGAAGAUCAGCCACACUGGGACUGAGACACGGCCCAGACUCCUACGGGAGGCAGCAGUGGGGAAUAUUGCACAAUGGGGGAAACCCUGAUGCAGCCAUGCCGCGUGUGUGAAGAAGGCCUUCGGGUUGUAAAGCACUUUCAGUUGUGAGGAAAAGUUAGUAGUUAAUACCUGCUAGCCGUGACGUUAACAACAGAAGAAGCACCGGCUAACUCCGUGCCAGCAGCCGCGGUAAUACGGAGGGUGCGAGCGUUAAUCGGAAUUACUGGGCGUAAAGCGCACGCAGGCGGUUUGUUAAGCUAGAUGUGAAAGCCCCGGGCUCAACCUGGGAUGGUCAUUUAGAACUGGCAGACUAGAGUCUUGGAGAGGGGAGUGGAAUUCCAGGUGUAGCGGUGAAAUGCGUAGAUAUCUGGAGGAACAUCAGUGGCGAAGGCGACUCCCUGGCCAAAGACUGACGCUCAUGUG
rnacentral:rRNA from 1 species